UAGCUCAGAUGAUAGAGAAUCUGCCUGAAGUGCAGGAGACCCAGGUUCAAUCCCUGG
rnacentral:tRNA from 1 species